CAUCAUGGAAUUACAUUUCGAACAUAUUUGCAAACACGACAAUAUAAAAACGAGUUGAAGCUUAGCCUGAAUUAUUAACACGAACUUACUCACGAUUAACACUCAAAAGUAAAAAAACAGUUCACAUACAUUUGUAACAUAAUGAUUAUUAGUCCAGAUAAUAUAAAAACAAUUUUUGUUCGUUAUUACAGACCAGUUUUAAUCCAGCUAGAUCAAAUUCAAAUGCAAAACUAACUAUCAUUAACAGACUACAUAUUUAAAUGCACAACUCAAAAGCUGGAUCAAAUUGCAUUUCAUGCUUCAACCACAAGUUCGCACUUCAUAUUUCAUCUCAUGCUAUCAAAGUCAAGCUGUGUACCUGGAAAACGAAAUACGAGGGAGAAAAUGAGAUUAAUAGCAGCAAUGCAACAGAGAUGAUUACAGGCAGGCCAAAAUAAGUCCAGGAGUUCAACUGUAUUUUGAAAAUCCACACAGAAGCAACAAAUCCAUUCAUAGCACCAAAUUGAACCAAACUGAACUCAACAAAAAACUCAAAUCCCAGAUUAAUCUACCAAAUCAACUCCAAACCAGCUUGAUUGAACCAAAACCAUUCGAUAAAACAACAGUAAAGCUUCAAAAGAACUUUUAGCAAACAGAAGAGCAACAGGACUGAAUGAUUUUGCCUAAAAUUCAAUGUAACAAUGCAUUUUUGAUUUUUUUUUCUCAAAGAUUUUUGUUUGUUUUCCUACUGUUUUUGGAUUUUUGAACUUUUGAAUUUCAAAAUCUAGAUCUAAAAAACUGGAGAGAAAAGGCUAUUGGAGAAGAUUGUUUUUUUUUUCUCUG
rnacentral:lncRNA from 1 species